GACGAACGUUGGCGGCGUGCUUAAUACAUGCAAGUCAACUGAAGCAGUGGUAGCAAUAUCGCUGUGGAGGUGGCGCACGGGUGAGUAACACGUAGGUAAUCUGCCUUCAGGUCUGGCAUAACUCCGGGAAACCGGGGCUAAUAGCAGAUGAUGCAGCGGCUCGACAUCGAGACAGUUGUUAAAGCUAUGGCGCCUGAAGAUGAGCCUGCGUCUGAUUAGCUAGUUGGCGGGGUAACGGCCCACCAAGGCAACGAUCAGUAGCUGGUCUGAGAGGAUGAUCAGCCACACUGGAACUGAGACACGGUCCAGACUCCUACGGGAGGCAGCAGUAAGGAGUAUUGCUCAACGGGAGAAAUCCUGAAGCAGCAACGCCGCGUGAGGGACGAAGGGCUUUUGCUUGUAAACCUCUGUAGUGAGAGAAAAAAAUCCCAAUCUUUGGGACAUGAUGGUAUCUCAAAAGUAAGCCCCGGCUAACUACGUG
rnacentral:rRNA from 1 species